rnacentral:rRNA from 1 species
CCUACGGGGGGCAGCAGUAGGGAAUUUUCCACAAUGGACGAAAGUCUGAUGGAGCAACGCCGCGUGAGUGAAGAAGGGUUUCGGCUCGUAAAGCUCUGUUGGUAGUGAAGAAAGAUAGAGGUAGUAACUGGCCUUUAUUUGACGGUAAUUACUUAGAAAGUCACGGCUAACUACGUGACAGCAGCUGCGGUAAUACGGAGGUGGCAAGCGUUGUCCGGAUUUAUUGGGCGUAAAGGGAGUGCAGGCGGUUCAAUAAGUCUGAUGUGAAAGUCUUCGGCUCAACCGGAGAAUUGCAUCAGAAACUGGUGAACUUGAGUUCAGAAGAGGAGAGCGGAACUCCAUGUGUAGCGGUGGAAUGCGUAGAUAUAUGGAAGAACACCAGUGGCGAAGGUGGCUCUCUGGUCUGCAACUGACGCUGAGGCUCGAAAGCAUGGGUAGCGAACAGGAUUAGAUACCCUGGUAGUC